AACGAACGCUGGCGGCAUGCCUAACACAUGCAAGUCGAACGAGACCUUCGGGUCUAGUGGCGCACGGGUGCGUAACGCGUGGGAACCUGCCCUUAGGUUCGGAAUAACUCCCCGAAAGGGGUGCUAAUACCGGAUAAUGUCUUCGGACCAAAGAUUUAUCGCCUUUGGAUGGGCCCGCGUUGGAUUAGCUAGUUGGUAGGGUAAAAGCCUACCAAGGCGACGAUCCAUAGCUGGUCUGAGAGGAUGAUCAGCCACACUGGGACUGAGACACGGCCCAGACUCCCACGGGAGGGAGGCGUGGGGAAUAAUGGGCAAUGGGCGAAAGCCUGAACCAGGCAUGGCGCGUGAGUGAUGGAGGCCUUAGGGUUGUAAAGGUCUUUUACCCGGGAUGGUAAUGACAGUACCGGGAGAAUAAGCCCCGGCUAACUCCGU
rnacentral:rRNA from 1 species